CUGCUAGCGGGCAUCCCCAUUGCAUCCAUCGAUCUGAAUCUGCAGAUGAGCAGUCUCAUUGGGGUCUUCUCUUUUUUAGAAAUGACUCAUGGGUUUCUCACCAUCCCUUCCACUUGGGGAUUUCAAUCGAAUGGUGAAAUGGAGUUACCAAUCAACCACUGGCUGAAUCAGCUCCCGGCCUGCCCGGGCUUAUCUCCACCGGUACAGGCUAGUGACCACCGCCGCUGGGAGCACAUCGCUAGGAACGUGCGUACCUCCCUCCAGUCCUUUCCUCACGCUCUUUGUUCUUUGGUCGGUUCCAUCAAGCGUGGCAGUAAUGUUUUGUUAUUGCAAAUUAUAGAUGUAAAUUCAGAUCAAGUAUAUGCAUUUGUAGUUUAUAUCACAAAGGGAAGCUAA
rnacentral:misc_RNA from 1 species